UACGUAGGGGGCUAGCGUUGUCCGGAAUCAUUGGGCGUAAAGAGCGUGUAGGCGGUCCGGUAAGUCCGCUGUGAAAGUCGGGGGCUCAACCCUCGAAUGCCGGUGGAUACUGUCUGGCUUGAGUACGGAAGAGGCGAGUGGAAUUCCUGGUGUAGCGGUGAAAUGCGCAGAUAUCAGGAGGAACACCUAUUGCGAAGGCAGCUCGCUGGGACGUUACUGACGCUGAGACGCGAAAGCGUGGGGAGCAAACAGG
rnacentral:rRNA from 1 species